rnacentral:lncRNA from 1 species
AUGGGUCAGAAACACAACCUGGACAUCUCUGGAGAGAUGGGAGCCACAACAGCCUGGACAUCCCUGGAAAGAUGGGUCAGGAGAAGAACCUGGGCAUUCCUGCUGGGAUGGGUCAGGAGAACCUGGAGAGAUGGGACAGGAGAAGAACCUGGAGAUAGGUCAGGAAAACAGCCUGGACAGCCCUGGAGGGAUGGGAUAGGAAAAGAACCUCAGGAGAAAAACCUGGACAUGCCUGGGGAGAUGGGAGAGGAGAAGAACUUCAGGAGAACAAGCUGGGGAGCCCUGGAGGGCUGGGACAGGAGAAGAACCUCAGGAGAACAACCUGGACAUCCCUGGAGAGAUGGGAACCAGAACAAGCUGGACAGCCUCAGGAGAACAACCUGGGCAUUCCUGCUGGGAUGGGUGAGGAGGACAGCGUGGGCAUCCCUGGAGAGAUGGGACAGGAAAAGAACCUGGAAAUGCGUCAGGAAAACAGCCUGGACAUCCCUGGAGGGAUGGGACAGGAUAACAAGCUGGGCAUUCCUGGAGGGAUGGGACAGGAUAACAAGCUGGGCAUUCCUGGAGGGAUGGGACAGGAGAACCCGGGCAUUCCUGGAGAGAUGGGUCAGGGGAACCUGGGCAUUCCUGCUGGGAUGGGUCAGGAGAACCUGGGCAUCCCUGGAGGGAUGGGACAGGAGAACAAGCUGGGCAUUCCUGGAGGGAUGGGACAGGAGAACCUGGACAUUCCUGCUGGGAUGUGACAGGAGAACAGCGUGGGCAUCCCUGGAGAGAUGGGUCAGGAACACAACCUGGACAUCCCUGGAGGGAUGGGAGCCAGAAGAGCCUGGACAGCCCUGGAGGGACCUUUGGGCCCUGGUCAGGGCA